UAGCAGUAUUGCUAAACCUCCCUUCCAGUAGGUGGAGUACUGAGAAUUUAAACUUAGUUCACUUGGUUAACUGUUUGUACUACAACACUGGCUGUUAAGCAUGGAGCGAGAUGGAAAGACCAAAAAGACUUCUUCCUCAAAAAUAUGUGGACAAUGAAGAGACAGGUGUGACCAAGGAUGAAGCAUCAAGACAAGAAAGAAGCAGGUCAAGCAGCCAAGUUGAGGUGGCAAAGGUAAAGGUGGAAAUCAAAUUCCUACAUGAUGAAUGCACAGUUUUGAAGGAACAUGUGGACAAAUUAACAUCUGUUCCUGACAUGGCUGCAGGUCCUUCAGGAUGGAGAGGGGCAGAAGAUUCCGCAUCCUGCUUUCUGAUAGACGAAAAAAAGGAAAAGCACAAGAAGAAGAAGAUCAAGAAGAACAAAAAAUAUAACAUUUUACCUAAAAGAAACAUAUAAUCAAUGAUGAUUGUAAAUAAAUAAAUAAAUAAGUUUAAUGUUAUGUAUUGUUGUACAGAUUGUUUUUGCUUUUAUUAAGAUUUAACAAAAAAUUGGUCUCAGUGGUAUGUACUUACAGAGUAAGAACAGCAGAACACUGCACACUACAUAAUACAGCCCGCUCUCUGUUGUUUCUGAGUACUUACUGGGUACUUACAGAGUAAGAACAGCAGAACACUGCACACUACAUAAUACAGCCCGCUCUCUGUUGUUUCUGAGUACUUACUGGGUACUUACAGAGUAAGAACAGCAGAACACUGCACACUACAUAAUACAGCCCGCUCUCUGUUGUUUCUGAGUACUUACUGGGUACUUACAGAGUAAGAACAGCAGAACACUGCACACUACAUAAUACAGCCCGCUCUCUGUUGUUUCUGAGUACUUACUGGGUACUUACAGAGUAAGAACAGCAGAACACUGCACACUACAUAAUACAGCCCGCUCUCUGUUGUUUCUGAGUACUUACUGGGUACUUACAGAGUAAGAACUGCAGAACACUGCACACUACAUAAUACAGCCCGCUCUCUGUUGUUUCUGAGUACUUACUGGGUACUUACAGAGUAAGAACUGCAGAACACUGCACACUACAUAAUACAGCCCGCUCUCUGUUGUUUCUGAGUACUUACAGAGUAAGUACUGCAUACUUUCAGAGUAAGAACAGUAGAACUCGGUGAAGUGUGGGUUUAAAGUUCUUUUUAGAACAGGGGUUAUAAAAAGCAGCUUUACAGGACAAGGUGUGCACCAGGACUCCAGGAGCAAGACAAAGGCAACAACGGUGAGAAGAGUCGAGCAGAAAAGGACUGAAGAUGGAAACCUAUCCACCAUUAUCCAUUAAAAUAAAACCUUGUGUUUUCUGUGUAUUAACAAAUAAAUUUCCUUUGAAAUCUCA